CAGUACAGUGCAGUACAAUACAAUACAGUACAGUGCAGUACCAUACAGUACAGUGCAGUACCAUACAGUACAGUGCAGUACAAUACAGUACAGUACAGUGCAGUACAAUACA
rnacentral:miRNA from 14 species